rnacentral:rRNA from 1 species
GACGGGUGAGUAACAUGUAGGUAUCUGCCCUUUGGCCUGGAAUAACACGAGGAAACUUGUGCUAAUACCGGAUAAGUCUUUACGGAGAAAGCUUUAUGCACCAUUGGAUGAGCCUGCACUUGAUUAGUUUGUUGGUGGGGUAAUGGCCUACCAAGACUGUGAUCAAUAGCUGAUUUGAGAGGAUGAUCAGCCACAUUGGGACUGAGACACGGCCCAAACUCCUACGGGAGGCAGCAGUGGGGAAUCUUGCACAAUGGAGGAAACUCUGAUGCAGCGAUGCCGCGUGAGUGAAGAAGGCCUUUGGGUUGUAAAGCUCUUUCGUCGGGGAAGAAAAUGACUGUA